rnacentral:rRNA from 1 species
GUAGGGUGCAAGCGUUACUCGGAAUUACUGGGCGUAAAGGGUGCGCAGGCGGGUAUGCAAGACAGGUGGGAAAUCCCCGGGCUCAACCUGGGAACUGCAUUUGGGACUGCAAGGCUUGAGUGCGGCAGAGGAGACUGGAAUUCCCGGUGUAGCAGUGAAAUGCGUAGAUAUCGGGAGGAAUACCGAUGGCGAAGGCAGGUCUCUGGGCUGACACUGACGCUCAUGCACGAAAGCGUGGGGAGCAAACAGG